rnacentral:tRNA from 1 species
UGCAUCGGCCAGGAAUCAAACCCGGCCGCCCGCGUGGCAGGCGAGCAUUCUCGCCAUUGAACUACCGAUGC